ACCCGCACAAGCGGUGGAUGAUGUGGAUUAAUUCGAUGCAACGCGAAAACCUUACCUACCCUUGACAUGUCCGGAAUCCCGAAGAGAUUUGGGAGUGCUCGCAAGAGAGCCGGAACACAGGUGCUGCAUGGCUGUCGUCAGCUCGUGUCGUGAGAUGUUGGGUUAAGUCCCGCAACGAGCGCAACCCUUGUCAUUAGUUGCCAUCAUUUGGUUGGGCACUCUAAUGAGACUGCCGGUGACAAACCGGAGGAAGGUGGGGAUGACGUCAAGUCCUCAUGGCCCUUAUGGGUAGGGCUUCACACGUCAUACAAUGGUCGGUACAGAGGGUUGCCAACCCGCGGAGGGGGAGCUAAUCCCACAAAGCCGAUCGUAGUCCGGAUCGCAGUCUGCAACUCGACUGCGUGAAGUCGGAAUCGCUAAGUAAUCGGUGGAUCAGCAUGUCACGGUGAAUACCGGUUCCCGGGUCUU
rnacentral:rRNA from 1 species